ACUGGAGUCAGUGGUUGCUGUGAGGACAAGGUGGAGUCAGUGCCUAGAGGAGCUGCCUGCAAGAAACAUCAAAGAGGCGCCCUUGCAGAGAACAACUAGGCGUUCAUUUCUGUUCCCACCUCCUCCUUGCCUCAGCCUCUCAUUUUUCCUUGAAGAAGUGGGCAAAGCUGCAAGGGAAGACACCUUCACUGCCUGUCCUUGUGGGAUCACAGGGCACUGGGGCAGAACCAGAUGAGCUGCCUGAGCAUGGGGAGGAGUAGGACACUGUGCUGUGUAGGAUGAAUUUUGCUGAGGCUUGCAGCCCACUCCAGACUCGUCUGCUCCCAGACCCUGAGGAGAGAUUUAGAUUCUUUUGCUGCUGCCCAUGUGCUUGUGUGCAAUAUCCUACCAUAGAUUUCAUACAUUUUAAAAUGAAUUAGAACCUUAACCUCCUCUUCCUUUAAGAGUUCUCUGUAGUAAUUGUAUCCUUCUGCUAUUAAAGUUCUAAAUAAUGACUGAAAUAGAUGUUUCUUUGAUAAUUUACAGUUUGAAGAGGAUUUUGAAAAGAAAUUAAUCUCUUUACAUGGGAAGACACUAUGUAAUCUUCGAAGACAUUCCAAGUUUCCUCAAUAUUUUACAGUCUUUUUGCUGUUUAUUUUGUAUCUCUUUUCUUGAAAAUGUUUAUUUUGGGUAGGUCAAAACAAAAUUCUCCUUAUGUCUCUCAUCAGCUGUAAGAUGAAUGCACACAGUUGGAACAUGUUCCAUUGAAACUCUCACGCAGAAUAAACAAAGUCCUGACCAAA